AUCAGAAGGGGUUUCCAAGGCAAUGCAGAGGAGGGGAAAGAUGAUCAAGAAAGAGAAGAUCACCACGAAUGCCGACUCGACCACGAAGAGAAGAAGAUUAUUCUCCACCGGAUCAUGAAACCCUUCUCCAAGCCCCCAUUUGAGAAAGGGUUAAGUUUCUUGAAUAGAAGGUGGAGAAACUCCUGAUGAUGAUGAUUACGACAGUGUGGAUCAUCGGCCCAACGCAUUAAUAGGCGGAUUGUGACCCCCAAGGAAGCUUUCCUGAUUUUCUCUCAAAAGUUGCAUGGUAAGUAAGAGUUCCGGCAAACGGAAGCAAGAAAAAAAGCGCAGGAAGCUUCAUAUCACCAAGAAUCGACGUCCAAACGAUUCUAAUAGAUGUCUCUGCGUCGUCUAAGACGGCCUACAUUAUUCAUCUUAGCGGCUAGUUUUCGUGAAAAUAGGCCGAUACAUCUCAUAAAGUCAACGACGAGGUGAAGUGACUGAAAAAGAAUUGUCAAAACACCUUUUCCAUAUGCACUGGUACUUGGGGAAUAUCAAGCGUAGGGAGGAGAUAUCUAAAUUCCUGAUUUCUGAAGUGGUGGCCUUUGACAUGUUGGAUUAUUUUGCAAAUGAAGAGAGGGUCGGGGCAAUGGAAGGUGGGUCAUGGAAGACUUGAAAUUUAGAUAUCGAUUUCCAUCAGCCACUGCAAGGAGAACUUGGCUGAAUCCCUGCAAUGGUGGCCAUUGGAAUGUGGGCAUGGUGCACAUUUUCUAGGUAGUGCUGUGUAUUGUGAAGUUGACCUCUUGAGUAGUUCUGCCAAUCAGUCAGAAAAAGUACAGAAAAUCGACUUAAGUGGGUCUGGUAUUAUUUAUUUCGUGCAGAUGGUGUAGAUUGCACAGGUUAAUUACUUUCCUUAACGUAGCAAGUAAAAGUAUAUGUUAGGGUGACAUACAAUGGGUCGUCGAAUAUUGUCUCAUUAACUACUACGCUAUUAUGGGUGGUCUUCAGUAAGUCAACUAUAUGUUUCCAGCCAGACGAGAGCUGUUCUAAUCAACUUUAGCAAUCCAAUUUGGCCCCUGCAUGAUUACUUGCUGACACAGGACUCCAAUCGUCCUUCCUCAUGGCCUUGCAAUUUUGAAUUUAGCACUGGGCCUCUGGGCUAUGCUCCUGAAAGAACUUGUUCUGCAUUUCCAUGAGAAGAGCAACCUGGAUCGACUAUCUUUGCAUGUGUAAUGAUGUUGGAAAGCUUUCAACAGAAGUUAUAUAGGCUAUGCAAUGAAAUGGUACUAGUACCUGAGGAUGCAGCAAUUGCUUUUGUGGAUAUAUAAGUCAGAAAAUGUCUAUUUUCCAAGUAGAAACAUUAUGUAGGUUUUGUGGCACCACUGAGGCAUGUUGUGGUGAGGGGAGGGCCUUCAACCAAUUACAUGGGAAAGCAACAUAUGGACACCACAUUUACAACAUUUGCCGGAAUAUCUAUUGUGGCCCUACGGAUGUAGUUCGUUACUUCAAAGCUGCGAAUUGGGUCUUCUCGUGCACCCAUUAGUUUACAAGAUGGGUAAGCCUCAAACCUUUCUGGCCAGCUUGAAUACAAAAGAAAAAGUUAUUUAAUGAGCAAUAUUGGCGCAUAGUUUUUGUGAAUCUGAUUGUGGUUGCUUGUUGCUUAUGUAUGUCUGCUGAGCACUGACAUUGAAGUAUUGAACACGUUGCACAAGACUAUGACUCUACUUUGUAGAAAGACAUUUCACUAGAGCGGAAUACUGUUCUUUACCCUUUUCCUGCUUGUUUUAGAUUGGGUAUGACACAUGUCAGUAGUCUGCUGCUCAAGUAAGGUAACGGGCACAAUGGAGAGUAGAUUGUAGAAAUGGUUAGGUACUAGGAAUUUUGAUUUUUUGUCAGGACUACAACUACAUUCUAGUUGAUUGCUUGGGUCCUACUGUAGAUUUCUAUUCAAAACAUGAACAUUGAAAUCCAAUAAAAGAGAAUUGAAAACUUUUGAUUAGCACA